CAGAGGGGGCAAGCGUUGUUCGGAAUUACUGGGCGUAAAGGGCGCGUAGGCGGCCCGCUAAGUCGAACGUGAAAUCCCCGAGCGCAACUCGGGAACUGCGUCCGAUACUGGCGGGCUUGAAUCCGGGAGAGGGAUGCGGAAUUCCAGGCGUAGCGGUGAAAUGCGUAGAUAUCUGGAGGAACACCGGUGGCGAAGGCGGCAUCCUGGACCGGCAUUGACGCUGAGGCGCGAAAGCUAGGGGAGCAAACGGGAUUAGAUACCCCGGUAGUCCUAGCCCUAAACGAUGAAUGCUUGGUGUGGCGGGUAUCGAUCCCUGCCGUGCCGAAGCUAACGCAUUAAGCAUUCCGCCUGGGGAGUACGGUCGCAAGGCUG
rnacentral:rRNA from 1 species